AUCUCUAGAUACGCGUAUCCGCGACAUCUUCCGUGAUCACGACUUUUGCGAACCAGAGGCGUAUUGCAGACACUCGCUCUAUACACGUCUCGCGAUUUCGUCGUUCGCGGCGUGUUCACGGACCCCCAACUUCGAUGGACCUGAUGACGCCAUGAUCCAUGUCGCAGUUGGAUCACAGUCGGAUCCGCCAGGCCCCUCUCAAUUAUGAGUGUCAUUGCCCGCGAGUCCUGCCUUCGGACAUAAAUACAGCUGCGACCCGUUUAAUCCGCGGGUGAAUGAAAAUGCCUGCACCACCACCACCACCACCACCUCUGCAAUUCAACUCUUCUGGUCCACCGGCAGGAGACAACAGGAAUUUGUUGUUGCAAUCUAUAAGAGCAGGCAAAACUUUGAAAAAGACUGUUACUGUGGAUAAAAGUACACCUGCUAUUGCUGGAAGAGUAAAAGGUGAAUCAACCAGCUCUUCAUUUAAUAAUAACAGUGGAAAUAAUAAUUCCAACAGCAGCAGUUACUCUAGUAAUGGAGGACCCAUGCAGCUUGGUGGUUUAUUUGCAAGUGGUAUGCCGAAGUUGAAACCUAUUGGAUUAAGAAGUAAUACGACAGAGAAGAACGGACAUAAUGUAAAUAAUCCUAGUUUCCUUCAUUCGUCACCUGGAUCGUCUCACAGCAUAAAGCGUGGUCCACCACCAGUCCCGCCACCAGCUACACAGAAACCACAAGUAUACAGUCAGAUUAUUGAUUUGCAGCAAAGUCAAAGUACCACCGAUUCUGCGAUGACCAACGCGGACACCAUGCCUAGAGGACUCGGAAAAUCGAUUAUCGUGCCUAAACCAGCAGCGUCUCCCUCCUUGCAGAAACCGUCGCCGCCACCUAAAAAGCUGAAUCUAACGAGCAGCACAAGUGUGUCGCGGGCACAAAGCAUGAGAUUGCCUCGUUCGUCACCGGUCUUGGUACCAACGCCGUCGUCUUUACAUCAAUCGCAGGACUGUUUAAACGAGACUGCGCAGCCGGCGAGAACUACGGUGAGUCGGGUUCUCAGGCCGCCCGUGGCUAGACCCCCGUCGCCACCGACUUCACGAGCGAAUACCAUGCCUACGACCGCUACGAGAGCAGCGCCGCCGCCGCCGUCGAGGGUCACGGUUACCGCACCGUGUAUACCCCCGCCGCCGCCGCCGCUCCCGCAUCGGCCCGCACCCACGCAUCAGAGAUUGGCACCUCCGCCGCCGCCGCCGCCAACUCCACCCACCAGGAGUUUGUCGGUGCGCAACGGUCAGUCAAAUACGAAUUCUGUUGACUUGGAGAUGCGUUUCGCCGAUAUGUUUCACGUCAUGUCGAGUUUCCCGCAUCCGGAGCCAUUCAAGGGUUUUGUUAAAGUCUACAGCAGCAGGAAUGAUGAGAUACUUCUUUUUUUAUGAUGCCAUUCGAAGAUUUUUUUCAUAUGAUACUUACCCCUUCUGCUGAUGCUGCUUCCCCGCCUCCUGUACCAUCAAAAAUACAUACAGCAAAGCAACAAGCUCCAGCUCCACCUCUUCAAUCAUCUUCUACCCCUAAUACACUGCAUUCGUUAAAUACUUCGUCUGGAAGUAAACAGUGGCAACAUAAUGCGACCUCUCUGGCAUAUUGAAAAGAAACCUCUGUGUAUACUUAAAUCAUUGCUUCGUGCAUUGAUUAUGAUAUAUAAUAUAUAUAAAACUUCUCGAUGCUGCCACAAUAAAAUGUUAAAUUAGAUGAGCAGGGAAAGGAUGAAUCGCGAAGUAUAAGCAUUAGAGAGUGUGUGAAAUAUCCUGAGUUCGUGUGUGUGAGCUCAGUUUUACAAUAAAAUGUUUUAGACAAUAUUUUCUGUACAGUUUAUCUUAGGAGAAAUCUAUUUAAUAUAGAUUAUACUUAUACAUAAAGAAAAGAAAGAUCGUUAGAAAUUCUAGGCCUGUUACCUAACAGAAAUGUAAAAGAUAUUAAAAUGAAAGGAACAUUUACUUUAGCUCU